CAGAAGAUAGUUUAAGGUUAAAAUAUCAGCUUUGGGAGCUGAGGAUAGAGGUUUGAAUCCUCUUUUUCUGA
rnacentral:tRNA from 1 species